UACAGAGGGGGCAAGCGUUGUUCGGAAUUACUGGGCGUAAAGGGCGCGUAGGCGGCCGGUUAAGUCGAACGUGAAAUCCCCGGGCUCAACCCGGGAACUGCGUCCGAUACUGGCAGGCUUGAAUUCGGGAGAGGGAUGCGGAAUUCCAGGUGUAGCGGUGAAAUGCGUAGAUAUCUGGAGGAACACCGGUGGCGAAGGCGGCUCUCUGGGACGGUACUGACGCUGAGACGCGAAAGCGUGGGGAGCAAACAGG
rnacentral:rRNA from 1 species